CCCUUAGAUGUUCUGGGCCGCACGCGCGCUACACUGAUCGGUGCAACAAGCAUCCGUCCUUGGCCGACAGGCCCGGGCAAUCUUUGAACGCCGGUCGUGAUGGGGAUAGACCUUUGCAAUUUUUGGUCUUCAACGAGGAAUUCCUAGUAAACGCAAGUCAUCAACUUGCAUUGAUUACGUCCCUGCCCUUUGUACACACCGCCCGUCGCACCUACCGAUUGAAUGGUCCGGUGAAACCUCCGGAUUGGCGCGUGCCCUCGGGCGCCGCCGAGAAGUUGGUUAAACCUUACCAUUUAGAGGAAGGUGAAGUCGUAACA
rnacentral:rRNA from 1 species